rnacentral:snRNA from 1 species
AUGCCUUGAACUUAUGGGUAAGGAAAAGAAUGGUUUAGGGUGAUGCCUGAGUCCUCGUUACUGAUGUGAAUGCAUAAAGGGUGUCUUGCCUGCUGAGGGAGGUGCCUGGGUGUAGGGAUCUGCCUGACCCU